rnacentral:rRNA from 1 species
UACAGAGGGUGCGAGCGUUGUCCGGAAUCACUGGGCGUAAAGGGCGCGUAGGCGGUCUGGUAAGCGUGCGGUGAAAGCCCGGGGCUCAACCCCGGGUCGGCCGUGCGAACUGCUGGACUGGAGCUUGUCAGAGGCAGGCGGAAUUCCGGGUGUAGCGGUGGAAUGCGUAGAGAUCCGGAAGAACACCGGUGGCGAAGGCGGCCUGCUGGGACAGUGCUGACGCUGAAGCGCGACAGCGUGGGGAGCAAACAGG